rnacentral:rRNA from 1 species
CGGGACGGGUGAGUAAUGCUUGGGAAUCUGGCUUAUGGAGGGGGAUAACUACAGGAAACUGUAGCUAAUACCGCGUAAUAUCGAAAGAUUAAAGUGUGGGACCUUCGGGCCACAUGCCAUGGGAUGAGCCCAAGUGGGAUUAGGUAGUUGGUGGGGUAAAGGCCUACCAAGCCUGCGAUCUCUAGCUGGUCUGAGAGGAUGGCCAGCCACACUGGAACUGAGACACGGUCCAG